rnacentral:rRNA from 1 species
UUAUAAGAGACAGCAGUAGCCGCGGUAAUACCGAGGGUGCGAGCGUUAAUCGGAUUUACUGGGCGUAAAGCGUGCGUAGGCGGCUUUUUAAGUCGGAUGUGAAAUCCCUGAGCUUAACUUAGGAAUUGCAUUCGAUACUGGGAAGCUAGAGUAUGGGAGAGGAUGGUAGAAUUCCAGGUGUAGCGGUGAAAUGCGUAGAGAUCUGGAGGAAUACCGAUGGCGAAGGCAGCCAUCUGGCCUAAUACUGACGCUGAGGUACGAAAGCAUGGGGAGCAAACAGGAUUAGAUACCCCUGUAGUCCCUGUCUCUUAUAC